UUCUCCUCCUCCUCGUUCUGCUGGGCCUCAUCUAAACGCAGCCCUGUGUGAAGUAAAGGAUGCCAGUAAGCCAUCUUCAUCAGAAUGCUCCAGGAAGACCAGAGCAAAGAUGACAUCAAGAAUAACCACGCAAUCUAAGUUGACAAACUUUGGACCGCAAAACGUGGAGCUUAACACAAACGAGACCGGCAAAGAAGUUAGCAAGGAGUCGAGCUUUAGCAAUGAAGCUGGCAAGGAGCUAACAGCUAGCCAGGAUGAAAUGAAUAAGUUAUCUCAGCAACAAAGCAGAGAUAACGGCAGCACUUAAGAACAUAACGUUUUCUGCACGAUUUGAUGGCAUUAUGACAGCCAUGGAAAUACGAUUUCAUCAUUAGAUUGGUGAAUCUAAGAUGCCUGUGGACUCGUGGACAGUUGGAUAGCGGACGUAUUGGAUUCUUGAAAGAGCUCGUCGCUCGUCGCAUAGGACUGCAACACCAAGAAGGUCCUGCUGCCAUCUGCAGAAAACAUUCCACCCAGGGAGAAACAGCCAAUCAGAGCAAGGAGGAGUGAGUUGCCACUUUCCUGCAGCUGUGCCAUUAGUGGAGAAACAACUUACCGUUACAGGAGACAAGCAUAUCUGCUGCUGAAUCGGCAGUAAAUUCUAAGUAGCCAAAAAGACUUUGCCAGUAGAUUC